UGAGUACGAGCGGCUACGGCCGCGAAGUGGAUGAUGUCAAGCUUCCAAGAAAAGCCCUAUACCCGUUAAGGCAUGAUGGCCUGUACCCGAAACCGACACAGGUGGGGUGGUAGAGAAUACCGAGGGGCGCGAGGUAACUCUCUCUAAGGAACUCGGCAAAAUGGCCCCGUAACUUCGGGAGAAGGGGUGCCACCGCGAGGUGGUCGCAGUGAAGAGGCCCAGGCGACUGUUUACCAAAAACACAGGUCUCCGCUAAGUCGCAAGACGAUGUAUGGGGGCUGACGCCUGCCCAGUGCCGGAAGGUUAAGGAAGCUGGUCAGCGCAAGCGAAGCUGGCGACUGAAGCCCCGGUCAACGGCGGCCGUAACAAUAACGGUCCUAAGGUAGCGAAAUUCCUUGUCGGGUAAGUUCCGACCCGCACGAAAGGCGUAACGAUCUGGGCGCUGUCUCGGAGAGAGGCUCGGCGAAAUAGAAUUGUCUGUGAAGAUGCGGACUACGUGCACCCGGACAGAAAGACCCUACGAAGCUUUACUGUAGCUUGGUAUUGUGCUCGGGCUCGGAAUGCGCAGGAUAGGUGGGAGGCUUUGAUCCAUUGCUUGCGGGUGAUGGUGAGCCACUGGUGAGAUACCACUCUUUCCGAGCUAGAGUUCUAACAGCAACCCGUUAUCCGGGUGCUGGACAGUAUCAGGUGGGCAGUUUGACUGGGGCGGUCGCCUCCUAAAAGGUAACGGAGGCGCGCAAAGGUCUGCUCAGGCUGGUUGGAAAUCAGCCGACGAGUGUAAAAGCUGAAGCAGGCUUGACUGUGAGACCUACAAGUCGAACAGGGAGGAAACUCGGCUUUAGUGAUCCGACGGUUCUGCGUGGAAGGGCCGUCGCUCAACGGAUAAAAGUUACUCUAAGGAUAACAGGCUGAUCUCCCCCAAGAGUUCACAUCGACGGGGAGGUUUGGCACCUCGAUGUCGGCUCAUCGCAACCUGGGGCUGAAGUCGGUCCCAAGGGUUGGGCUGUUCGCCCAUUAAAGCGGUACGCGAGCUGGGUUCAGAACGUCGUGAGACAGUUCGGUCCAUAUCCGGUGCACGCGCAGGAAUAUUGAGAGGAUUUCUCCCUAGUACGAGAGGACCGGGAGGAACGCACCUCUGGUGUGCCAGUUAUCGUGCCAACGGUAAACGCUGGGUAGCCAUGUGCGGAGUGGAUAACCGCUGAAAGCAUCUAAGUGGGAAGCCCACCUCAAGAUGAGUAUUCCCAUGGCAUAAGCCAGUAAGGUCACGGGAAGAACACCCGUUGAUAGGCUCUACGUGGAAGCGCAGUAAUGUGUGAAGCGGAGGAGUACUAAUAGACCGAGGGCUUGAC
rnacentral:rRNA from 1 species